UGGGGAAUUUUGGACAAUGGGCGAAAGCCUGAUCCAGCAGCCGCGGUAAUAAUCACUAGUGAAUUCG
rnacentral:rRNA from 1 species